AUACGGAGAGGGCAAGCGUUGUUCGGAUUUAUUGGGCGUAAAGCGCGCGUAGGUGGCAUGGUAAGUCGGAUGUUAAAGACCCACGGCUCACCCGGGGGAAUGCGUCCGAUACUGCCGUGCUAGAGUGCGGGAGAGGAAAGUGGAAUUCCUGGUGUAGCGGUGAAAUGCGUAGAUAUCAGGAGGAACACCGGUGGCGAAGGCGGCUUUCUGGCCCGUAACUGACACUGAGGCGCGAAAGCGUGGGGAGCGAACGGGAUUAGAUACCCCGGUAGUCCACGCCGUAAACGUUGGAUACUAGGUGUAGGAGGUAUUCUACCCCUCCUGUGCCGAAGUUAACGCAUUAAGUAUCCCGCCUGGGGAGUACGACCGCAAGGUUGAA
rnacentral:rRNA from 1 species